AGAGUUUGAUCCUUUUUCAGGAUGAACGCCGGCGGUGUGCCUAAUACAUGCAAGUCGUACGCACUGGCCCAACUGAUUGAUGGUGCUUGCACCUGAUUGACGAUGGAUCACCAGUGAGUGGCGGACGGGUGAGUAACACGUAAGUAACCUGCCUCGGAGCGGGGGAUAACAUUUGGAAACAGAUGCUAAUACCGCAUAACAACAAAAGCCACAUGGCUUUUGUUUGAAAGAUGGCUUUGGCUAUCACUCUGGGAUGGACCUGCGGUGCAUUAGCUAGUUGGUAAGGUAACGGCUUACCAAGGCAAUGAUGCAUAGCCGAGUUGAGAGACUGAUCGGCCACAAUGGAACUGAGACACGGUCCAUACUCCUACGGGAGGCAGCAGUAGGGAAUCUUCCACAAUGGGCGCAAGCCUGAUGGAGCAACACCGCGUGAGUGAAGAAGGGUUUCGGCUCGUAAAGCUCUGUUGUUGGAGAAGAACGUGCGUGAGAGUAACUGUUCACGCAGUGACGGUAUCCAACCAGAAAGUCACGGCUAACUACGUGCCAGCAGCCGCGGUAAUACGUAGGUGGCAAGCGUUAUCCGGAUUUAUUGGGCGUAAAGCGAGCGCAGGCGGUUGCUUAGGUCUGAUGUGAAAGCCUUCGGCUUAACCGAAGAAGUGCAUCGGAAACCGGGCGACUUGAGUGCAGAAGAGGACAGUGGAACUCCAUGUGUAGCGGUGGAAUGCGUAGAUAUAUGGAAGAACACCAGUGGCGAAGGCGGCUGUCUGGUCUGCAACUGACGCUGAGGCUCGAAAGCAUGGGUAGCGAACAGGAUUAGAUACCCUGGUAGUCCAUGCCGUAAACGAU
rnacentral:rRNA from 1 species